GGGGAUUUUAUGAAUGUAUGAUUGAUAAUGAAUCAAGAAUAAUAAUAAAAUAAAAUAAAAGAUAAAUCAAAUGAUAAAAGUUCUGAUUGAAGGAUUAAUUCAAUUUUAAUUCAACUAUUUAUCAUCGAUGCAAGGAUAAAAAUUACUACUCAUGAAUGAAUUGGAUAUAGCUAUUACAAGCUCUAAUAGGUAAUCUCUCUUUAAUUUCUUGAUAACUAAAAUAAGCUCUUUGAUUACUUCUCUAAUCAAAAGACAACUCUAGACAAGCUCUUACGAUUUAAUCUAUUAACAACAUUAGAAACUAGAGCGAUCCUAUUUUAAUUAACAAACACACAAGCUCAGUUCAUUUAAAUUAGAUUGUUUAUUCUCAUAACAUAAUAUACAGUUAUGUUAUUUGCCACAAUUAUCCAAAUAUUCAUACAAUUAAAGAUAUGAGAUUUUGAUUAGCAAUAUACUAAGUUGAUAAUUAAACAACAGCCAAUUAUUUAAUUAACAAAAAUAGUCAUCUCAAGAUUGCAGAGAAUACACAAAUACAUAAGAGCUGUAAAAUAAAUAAAGCGUAAAUUAGAUCUCAUAAUAGAUGUAAAAUCAAAUCUUCAUUAAUCUUCAACUAGAAUAAAAAGUGUUUAGCUCCUCACAAUAGAGAAAAAUACUGCUAGAAAAGAAAAAAACUUUUUAUGUCUAUUCAAUGAUAAUCAAAUUUCCUAAUAUUUAUUAUAAUAUAUAGCCCUAGAAAGAUAAUCUAAAAUCUCUGAAAAGAUUUUACCAAACAUAAAUCAAAGUAAAGAUCAUAUUUUCCACUUAAAAUAGGAGUUCUAAAAAGAGAAUAACAUCUAUUAAAAUAAAGAAAUAAAUAAAAUAUAAUUGUCUCUUAAUUAAGCUGAAAUUCAUACUAGAAAAUAGGUUGGAAUUUGCAAGUCUCCUAGCUGACAGAGUGUGCCCACGCUUUAUCAACAGAGUUCUUUUGUCAAAAUAUUGAAACUUCUUUUGAAAUCUUGAUAAGUUGUUAAAUCAUUCUCAAUUAUAAUCUUUAAGCUCAUUUUAUUACUAACAAUCAAAUUGCACCUGUAAAAUUAAAACACAAGUUAAAAAUUAUUCACAAGUUAAAAAUUAUUCUUAAGUGAAAAACAUCGAUAAAAUUAAGAAGAAAUAUUACAAUAUUAAUGAUAAUAUUUAUUCUAACACAAACAAUAUGGGCAUAAUAAAUCAGAUUGCAAAAAUAAGUCAAACGCAACCUUCAAUGGUCUGAGUAUAAAAACUCUUUUUUCACUAUCAGAACAUAGAGAACAUGUUAGUUACUUGGCUGUUAAAUAUUUAUAAUUUUUAGAAGUGAUUAUGUGUUGUGGUUGACCAAAAUCAAUUUGUGUAAAUGUAUGUAUUUGUCUGCAAAUUUCAUUUUUAGAAUCCAUAAAUGGUGCUAUUGGCCAAAGGAUUGGGGCUAAGAAAGCAAAAGCCAAGGAACCUACACCAACAGCUAAUCCAAAUCCCAAAACAGUCCCUAAAAAAAAAAAGGGAUCCAACUGGAAUUUGAAUUGAUAGAGAUACCAGUUUUAUUAAUGUAAAUAUUUCAUACCUCAUUUAAUGCAUUUUUUAUAAUAGCAGAAUUGAAAUUCUUGAUGUAUUUUAUAUGAAUGGUAUAUUGUUGGUGCAGGGUGAAUUAUUUAUAGAGAAAUUGAAUAAAGCUUGUUCUGAGAUUGUAUGGUUACAUGGUCUUCUUUCCGAGCUUGGAUUUCUUCAAAUUGACCCCACUCCACUUCAUGGUGAUAAUACCAGUGCCAUUCAAAUAGCUGCGAAUCCAGUAUAUCAUGAAGGCACAAAGGACAUUGAGGUGGACUGCAAUUACAUUAGAGAGGUCUUUACUUGAGGUGUUAUCACUCUUCCUCGUCUUACUAUUGAUCUUCAAAUUCUCGAUAUCUUUACAAAAGCUUUGACCUGCUAAUGACAGAAGUUUCUUAUUACCAAAUUGAUGCUGAUAGGCUUGCCCGCAUCAAUUUUAAGGGGGAUGUUAAUAUAUUCUUUUUUACUUAUUUAGUUUCUUAUAUAAUUGUAUAUCCAUUUAUUA